GGCUGGUCCGAAGGUAGUGAGUU
rnacentral:miRNA from 1 species